rnacentral:rRNA from 1 species
UACGGGGGGGGCAAGCGUUGUUCGGAAUUACUGGCGUAAAGCGCGUGUAGGCGGCCUUCUAAGUCUGGUGUGAAAGCCCGGGGCUCAACCCCGGAAGUGCAUUGGAUACUGGGAGGCUGGAGUACCGGAGAGGAGGGUGGAAUUCCUGGUGUAGCGGUGAAAUGCGUAGAUAUCAGGAGGAACACCGGUGGCGAAGGCGGCCCUCUGGACGGAUACUGACGCUGAGACGCGAAAGCGUGGGAGCAAACAGG